UGUGUUUUGUAUUUUCUGUUAUUGAGAAAGAUAAAAAGAUAACCAGAAUGUCCAUGGAAAUCUGACGAAGACAUAUACUUGGUUGACAAUCUCUAAAGAUUUGGGGAUUUUCAAGAUUUGAAUACUUAUUUACGUUAGUUGUUGAUAUUUUUGCAACGAAAGAUUUUCUUUUUUUUUUCUUUUUGGACAAUUAUAAUAAGCCCGAUUGUAACUUUUGUCGUCUUUUUUUCUUACUAACUCUCCAUUUUAUUUUGUACAAUAUGUAUUCAUCUGUCGUGACAGUAU
rnacentral:lncRNA from 1 species